rnacentral:rRNA from 1 species
UUGCAUAUCAAUAAGCGGAGGAAAAGAAACCAACAGGGAUUGCCCCAGUAACGGCGAGUGAAGCGGCAACAGCUCAAAUUUGAAAUCUGGCCCCUAGGGCCCGAGUUGUAAUUUGCAGAGGAUGCUUUUGGCGAGGUGCCUUCCGAGUUCCCUGGAACGGGACGCCAUAGAGGGUGAGAGCCCCGUCUGGUUGGAUGCCGAGCCUCUGUAAAGCUCCUUCGACGAGUCGAGUAGUUUGGGAAUGCUGCUCUAAAUGGGAGGUAUAUGUCUUCUAAAGCUAAAUACCGGCCAGAGACCGAUAGCGCACAAGUAGAGUGAUCGAAAGAUGAAAAGCACUUUGAAAAGAGGGUUAAAUAGUACGUGAAAUUGUUGAAAGGGAAGCACUUAUGACCAGACUUGGACCCGGUGAAUCAUCCAGCGUUCUCGCUGGUGCACUUUGCCGGGCUCAGGCCAGCAUCAGUUUGCCCCGGGGGAUAAAGGCUUUGGGAAUGUGGCUCCCUCGGGAGUGUUAUAGCCCACUGCACAAUACCCUGGGGCGGACUGAGGUUCGCGCAUCUGCAAGGAUGCUGGCGUAAUGGUCAUCAGUGACCCGUCUUGAAACACGGACC